GUGUUUUUAGAAUGGGUUGUCCUUUGGAAAACAUCUACAGUGAUUGGUAGAUGUAAGGACUUAGGGGAGGUGACAUAAGAGAAAAACCCCUGUAUAAGAAAAAGCAGAAUCUCUUGAGAAAAAAAAAAUCCUUUUGGAGAAUCUCUGAUGAGGAUCGCUUGGGAAGAAUCUCUUGAGAGAGGCUCUGGAGAAGGGAAGCUCUUGGAGGACAAUCUAUAAGGAGGUCUCGUUGGAGCUCCUCUGAGGGGACUCUGUCCCUCUGGAGGCUCUGGAGAGAGGCCCUUUGAAACUGGCUGGAAGGCUCUUUGAGGAGGACUCUGGCUGGAACUCUCUCUGGUGAAGUCAGCUGAGAUGGAGCUGGCCUGGUUUCACUAGAAUCCUUGCUUAGACAGACCUUGUGGAUCUAUGCCUGGCAAACUUUGCGAAAGCUGAAAUGCAGGAAGAAUCUCUGAUGAAGCAGAACUGGCUCUCCUGAGGAUAAUUCUAAUAAAGUAGAGCCCAUGUAAUUCAACUCUUACUUGAACAUGGAUCCUCACUACCUAAGAGCUAAGUGGUUAUCUAUACCAUUUUCAAAGACCUCUGGUUUCCUCUUCAAUGGUCUUUUCAGUUUGGAAGUGCUGGGGGGGAAAGAUUUCCAGUCACCAGCAGGAAAAGGUAGUGUUGGCAAAGCUUUCGGAGAUUUCAUGCCCAAACUGUACUUUCAAGCUACCUGUGAGCCCCCUGCUUUACUGCGGAGGAGGGGAAAGGAAGUGCUCACAUUGGUCUGCCUGACAGAGGGCUGGGUCACACAAAAAAAUGUCAUGAGGCUUAAUGGAGAGGAGGAAUGGAGCAGCCCCCUCCAGCACACCAGAUCUUCAUAAACGUGGCUGUAGGACCAAAUAAAACAUUCUUCUUCUUCCA
rnacentral:lncRNA from 1 species